rnacentral:lncRNA from 1 species
UCCCCUGACUGUGUCCUUGAGAGACCCACAUUUGAGAGGUCACCUUCAGGCUGAUCUCAGAGACUGACCUUGCUCAUUCUCUCCAGGCCUAAGCUCCCAAGACAUGUCUCCUCCCAGAGGCUGAGGUUGGCCAUUCCUUCCAGGCACCAACUCCUCAGAGAUCUGAGCCCCCAAGAGGUAUCUCUUCCCAGAGACUGAAGUUGGCUAUUCCCUCCAGGCCCCAGCUCCUGAGAGGCAGCUACUCCCAGAAUGAGGUAAUACUUGUGAAGAG